UACGUAGGGGGCAAGCGUUGUCCGGAAUCAUUGGGCGUAAAGAGCGUGUAGGCGGCCCGAUAAGUCCGCUGUGAAAGUCCAGGGCUCAACCCUGGAAUGCCAGUGGAAACUGUCGGGCUAGAGUCCGGAAGAGGCGAGUGGAAUUCCUGGUGUAGCGGUGAAAUGCGCAGAUAUCAGGAGGAAUACCGAUGGCGAGGGCAGGUCUCUGGGUCGAUACUGACGCUCAUGCACGAAAGCGUGGGGAGCAACAGG
rnacentral:rRNA from 1 species